UGGUGGGUAGUUUGACUGGGGCGGUCUCCUCCUAAAGAGUAACGGAGGAGCACGAAGGUUGGCUAAUCCUGGUCGGACAUCAGGAGGUUAGUGCAAUGGCAUAAGCCAGCUUGACUGCGAGCGUGACGGCGCGAGCAGGUGCGAAAGCAGGUCAUAGUGAUCCGGUGGUUCUGAAUGGAAGGGCCAUCGCUCAACGGAUAAAAGGUACUCCGGGGAUAACAGGCUGAUACCGCCCAAGAGUUCAUAUCGACGGCGGUGUUUGGCACCUCGAUGUCGGCUCAUCACAUCCUGGGGCUGAAGUAGGUCCCAAGGGUAUGGCUGUUCGCCAUUUAAAGUGGUACGCGAGCUGGGUUUAGAACGUCGUGAGACAGUUCGGUCCCUAUCUGCCGUGGGCGCUGGAGAACUGAGGGGGGCUGCUCCUAGUACGAGAGGACCGGAGUGGACGCAUCACUGGUGUUCGGGUUGUCAUGCCAAUGGCACUGCCCGGUAGCUAA
rnacentral:rRNA from 3 species